AUUGAACGCUGGCGGCAGGCCUAACACAUGCAAGUCGAGCGGAUGAAGGGAGCUUGCUCCUGGAUUCAGCGGCGGACGGGUGAGUAAUGCCUAGGAAUCUGCCUGGUAGUGGGGGAUAACGUCCGGAAACGGGCGCUAAUACCUCAUACGUCCUGAGGCAGAACGUGGGGGAUCUUCGGACCUCACGCUAUCAGAUGAGCCUAGGUCGGAUUAGCUAGUUGGUGGGGUAAAGGCCUACCAAGGCGACGAUCCGUAACUGGUCUGAGAGGAUGAUCAGUCACACUGGAACUGAGACAAGGUCCAGACUCCUACGGGAGGCAGCAGUGGGGAAUAUUGGAGAAUGGGCGAAAGAAUGAUCCAGCAAUGCCGCGUGUGUGAAGAAGGUCUUCGGAGUGUAAAGCACUUUAAGUGGGGAGGAAGGGCAGUAAGUUAAUACCUUGCUGUUUUGACGUUACCAACAGAAGAAGCACCGGCUAACUACGUG
rnacentral:rRNA from 1 species